rnacentral:lncRNA from 1 species
AUAUAAAGGUAAAUAUAAAUAAAAAUAGUGUAAGAUACUAUUUUUAUUGGACUUAAAAAAAAAAAAUAUAAGUCGAAAAUGACUUGUACUGAAAUUGGAAUGGAGACAGAAAAUUUAGAAUUUUCUGUAAGAAACGGGGCUAAUCUUUUAGCAGAAAAUUCACAGUGUCAGAAAAUUAUAAAAGUUCGAGAAUAUGUGGGAAUUAUUUUUAUAAGACUAGAUUUAAAGUUUCAUGUCAUUCCGACACCCCGAAAGUGAAAAUAAAAUCUGACUGCUAUCUGCUAGAGAUUCAGGUCGGUAGAGCUUUCGGUGACCAAAAAUGGUCCAAACUAAGAAUUUAAGAUUUCGUUCUUCUUGUUAAGUUAAACCGAGCCUGACUGUCAAAUUUGAGCACAAACGGACAUUCAGAAGGGCUCCGGCGAGAAGUAUCAGAUUUUGAACUGCUAAACUGACAUUGUGUUAAUGUUGGGGUGGAGGUUGACUAUAAAAAGGGGAUUCUUCUCCCCUUUCUUCUUCUUCCUAGCCAACACACACACACACACACACACACACACACACACACACACACACACACACACGUAUGGAGAGGGAGAGAGAAACCCUCCCUUUCUCUCUCUAGAUAUCUUCCUGCUCUCUUUAUCUUUUUCUCCUAUAUUCGGAGGCUUGGCAGAGA